UAGGGAAUCUUCCACAAUGGACGCAAGUCUGAUGGAGCAACGCCGCGUGAGUGAAGAAGGUCUUCGGAUCGUAAAGCUCUGUUGUUGGUGAAGAAGGAUAGAGGCAGUAACUGGUCUUUAUUUGACGGUAAUCAACCAGAAAGUCACGGCUAACUACGUGCCAGCAGCCGCGGUAAUACGUAGGUGGCAAGCGUUGUCCGGAUUUAUUGGGCGUAAAGCGAGCGCAGGCGGAAUGAUAAGUCUGAUGUGAAAGCCCACGGCUCAACCGUGGAACUGCAUCGGAAACUGUCAUUCUUGAGUGCAGAAGAGGAGAGUGGAACUCCAUGUGUAGCGGUGGAAUGCGUAGAUAUAUGGAAGAACACCAGUGGCGAAGGCGGCUCUCUGGUCUGCAACUGACGCUGAGGCUCGAAAGCAUGGGUAGCGAACAGGAUUAGAUACCCUGGUAGUCCAUGCCGUAAACGAUGAGCGCUAGGUGUUGGGGGCAC
rnacentral:rRNA from 1 species